UCUGCAUAACAUUCUCAACUUCCCAUCUAAAUUCCUCCUUAUCAACUAUCUUGGUCUCCCAAUAACGGGAGAUAUUAUGGAAACAAUACAAAAAUUCACCCAUAAGUCUACUUGUUGGAGGGGGGGUACACUGGACUAUGCUAGCAUCCUUUUCCUGGUACAUAUGGUGUGAAAGGAAUAGGAGAUUAAAACAGCACACCCUAAGGCCUCCAGAAAUUGUUAGCAGAGAAAUUAUAAAGGAUGUGAGCAUUGCAUAUGAAUCUACAUCCUAUAAGAAGCACAAUCUUUCACAGAUUGAAAUACAAGCUAUAGGCUCGUGGGCCUCUUGAGGCUUCAGUCCUUGGCUAGUUAGUCAGGGCCUUGUCCAGUUUUACAGAUAUAUACAGAGAAAAUAAAUCUCCUUCACAGACAACACCACUCAACAGUAGGUAAGGUCCUUUAGGGAUGACAUAGCCAGAAACAUAAAAUCUUAAUAGAAUAGCAAAAAAUACAUAAGUUAGCACAUCCACUUUCCCACAGCAGCAGUCUCAAGGAUAGUAGGAUACCUUAGUCAGGAGGGUUAGCCUUGACAUCAAAGCUAAGCUUGCAAUCCAUAAUAAUCUCAGCAGUAACUACUUCAUCAGAUCUGAAUAUUCCAGUCUUCCAUCUUCUAUUACUCUCUUGCCACAAAUGCCAAGUAAUUCCACCAAGUAAAAACCAGAGAAACCUCCAACAAUUAUAGCUUAUCCUUAUAGAUUGUAUGCAAUCAGUCAUAUCCCCCAAUCUGAUCUCAUCCCCGGAUCCCCCCGAGGUACCUGCAAGUUCCUACUCUUCCACAAAGUAUGAUUGGUUUUCUCUGAAACAGAUAAGAAGAUAUUUUUUGAGAAAGGACAGUAAAGAAAAGAUGGCCAAUACUUUCAGAACUAAAAAACGAGGUUGGCCAGAAUCCGGUAAAGCAGGACGGAAUCCGGCCAACCUCGUUUGAGGAUGUUGGGGGCUUGGGGGAUGGAAAAAACUUACCAAAAUAAGGUGAACAGUAGAGGGGACGACAUCAACUCUUCAGGCAAAAAUGAGGCUUUCUCCGGCGAGAAUGGGGGUCAACUCCGGCGAGGUGAAGAGGGAGAGAGAUGAAGAGUUUUUUUAAU
rnacentral:lncRNA from 1 species